GUGUCAGCAGCCGCGGUAAUACGUAGGGUGCAAGCAUUAAUCGGAUUUAUUGGGCGUAAAGGGCGCGUAGGCGGGGAUGCCAGUCAGAUGUGAAAUCCCGGAGCUCAACUCCGGAACAGCAUUUGAAACUACAUCUCUAGAGGGUAGACGGGGAAAACGGAAUUCCACAAGUAGCGGUGAAAUGCGUAGAUAUGUGGAAGAACACCAGUGGCGAAGGCGGUUUUCUAGUUUAUACCUGACGCUGAUGCGCGAAAGCAAGGGGAGCAAACAGGAUUAGAUACCCUGGUAGUCCUUGCUGUAAACUAUGUAUACUUGGUGUAGUUGGAUUCAACCCUGACUGUGCCGGAGCUAACGCGUUAAGUAUACCGCCUGGGAAGUACAGUCGCAAGGCUGAA
rnacentral:rRNA from 1 species